GACGAACGCUGGCGGCGUGCUUAACACAUGCAAGUCGAACGGAAAGGCCCUGCUUUUGUGGGGUGCUCGCGUGGCGAACGGGUGAGUAACACGUGCGUAACCUGCCCUUGACUUUGGGAUAACUUCAGGCAACUGGGGCUCAUACCGGAUAGGAGCUCCUGCUGCAUGGUGGGGGUUGGAAAGUUUCGGCGGUUGGGGAUGGACUCGCGGCUUAUCCGCUGGUUGGUGGGCUAGUGGCUUACCAAGUCUUUGACGGGUAGCCGGCCUGAGAGGGUGACCGGCCACAUUGGUACUGAGAUACGGCCCAGACUCCUACGGGAGGCAGCAGUGGGGAAUAUUGCACAAUGGGCGGAAGCCUGAUGCAGCAACGCCGCGUGCGGAAUGACGGCCUUCGGGUUGAAAACCGCUUUCGCCGGAGACGAAGCGUGAGUGACGGUAAUGGGUAAAGAAGCACCGGCUAACUACGUG
rnacentral:rRNA from 1 species